rnacentral:lncRNA from 1 species
AAAGGAAGGAGCUGAGGCUGAGAACCUGAAAAUAGCGAAUCCCUAGCGGCUUCCCUCGAGCUGCACUGACCCCAGCACACAGGGCUUGCUGCAAACUGUUUUCAACUCCCCUCAUUCAAUCCACCAGCAGCCAGAGGCCUAUGAAGCUCUGUCAUUUCAUGAGAUUCAGCCACGCAUACCUGAAGCCAUAUAUACCUCUCAAACCGGGGCAAUGGUUCCUUGCUUCAGAGGUUGCAAAAUUGUCGUGGGAAGUGUACAAAUCCAUGUUUGGAGCUCAGGAUCUCCUCCUUCACAGCCCCAUCAAGCAACAAGAAUGUUUUAAAAGUAGGAUCAGAGGGUUGAAUUUUGGGAGGGGGGUGCAAAGAAAUGAUGAACGAUGUUAACUUUUGACUGCAGGAGUCGUGAUAGAGUUGAGUGAAGCUUCAGGUAAAUAAAUCAUUUAAUCCCAGAGCUACCGAAGUCA